AGAGUUUGAUCCUGGCUCAGGAUGAACGCUAGCGGCAGGCCUAAUACAUGCAAGUCGAACGGUAAGACCGAAAGGUAAAAGAGUGGCGGACGGGUGAGUAACGCGUAUGCAACCUACCCUUUGCAGAGGGAUAGCCCGAAGAAAUUCGAAGUAAUCCCGCAUGAGGAUAUACGGAGGCAUCUUUGAAUAUUCAAAGUCAAGGCGGCGAAGGAUGGGCAUGCGUACUAUUAGUUAGUUGGUGAGGUAACGGCUGCACCAAGACGACGAUAGUUAGGGGAUCUGAGAGGAUGGUCCCCCACACUGGUACUGAGACACGGACCAGACUCCUACGGGAGGCAGCAGUAAGGAAUAUUGGGCAAUGGAGGGAACUCUGACCCAGCCAUGCCGCGUGAAGGAAGAAGGCCUUAUGGGUUGUAAACUUCUUUUACCGGGGGAUAAAGAGCGUCACGAGGUGACGGAGUGAAGGUACCCGGGGAAAAAGCAUCGGCUAACUCCGUGCCAGCAGCCGCGGUAAUACGGAGGAUGCGAGCGUUAUCCGGAUUUAUUGGGUUUAAAGGGUGCGCAGGCGGAUUAUUAAGUCAGCGGUGAAAGGCUCGGGCUCAACCUGAGCAGAGCCGAUGAUACUGAUAGUCUUGAGUGAGGUCGAGGCAGGCGGAAUGUGAUGUGUAGCGGUGAAAUGCAUAGAUAUGUCACAGAACACCGAUAGCGAAGGCAGCUUGCCGGGCCUAUACUGACGCUCAUGCACGAAAGCGUGGGGAUCGAACAGGAUUAGAUACCCUGGUAGUCCACGCUGUAAACGAUGGACACUCGUUGUCGGCGAUAGAAUGUCGGCGGUCAAGCGAAAGUGAUAAGUGUCCCACCUGGGGAGUACGGUCGCAAGGCUGAAACUCAAAGGAAUUGACGGGGGCCCGCACAAGCGGUGGAGCAUGUGGUUUAA
rnacentral:rRNA from 1 species